UACGUAGGGUGCAAGCGUUGUCCGGAAUUAUUGGGCGUAAAGAGCUCGUAGGCGGUCUGUCGCGUCUGGUGUGAAAACCUCGGGGCUUAACUCCGGGCCUGCAUCGGGUACGGGCAGACUAGAGUGCGGUAGGGGAGACUGGAAUUCCUGGUGGUAGCGGUGAAAUGCGCAGAUAUCAGGAGGAACACCGGUGGCGAAGGCGGGUCUCUGGGCCGUAACUGACGCUGAGGAGCGGAAAGCAUGGGGAGCGAACAGG
rnacentral:rRNA from 1 species